rnacentral:rRNA from 1 species
UGGCGGCAGGCUUAACACAUGCAAGUCGAGCGGGCACCUUCGGGUGUCAGCGGCGGACGGGUGAGUAACGCGUGGGAACGUGCCCUCUGGUUCGGAAUAACUCAGGGAAACUUGAGCUAAUACCGGAUACGCCCUUUUGGGGAAAGGCUUGCUGCCGGAGGAUCGGCCCGCGUCUGAUUAGCUAGUUGGUGGGGUAACGGCCUACCAAGGCGACGAUCAGUAGCUGGUCUGAGAGGAUGAUCAGCCACACUGGGACUGAGACACGGCCCAGACUCCUACGGGAGGCAGCAGUGGGGAAUAUUGGACAAUGGGCGCAAGCCUGAUCCAGCCAUGCCGCGUGAGUGAUGAAGGCCUUAGGGUUGUAAAGCUCUUUUAUCCGGGACGAUAAUGACGGUACCGGAGGAAUAAGCCCCGGCUAACUUCGUGCCAGCAGCCGCGGUAAUACGAAGGGGGCUAGCGUUGCUCGGAAUCACUGGGCGUAAAGGGCGCGUAGGCGGCGUUUUAAGUCGGGGGUGAAAGCCUGUGGCUCAACCACAGAAUGGCCUUCGAUACUGGGACGCUUGAGUAUGGUAGAGGUCGGUGGAAC